CAGUAGCCACGGUAAAACGAAGGGUGCAAGCGUUACUCGGAAUUACUGGGCGUAAAGCGUGCGUAGGUGGUGGUUUAAGUCCGUUGUGAAAGCCCUGGGCUCAACCUGGGAAUUGCAGUGGAUACUGGGUCACUAGAGUGUGGUAGAGGAUAGUGGAAUUUCCGGUGUAGCAGUGAAAUGCGUAGAGAUCGGAAGGAACAUCUGUGGCGAAGGCGACUAUCUGGGCCAACACUGACACUGAGGCACGAAAGCGUGGGGAGCAAACAGGAUUAGAUACCCCCGUAGUCCCUGUCUCUUUACA
rnacentral:rRNA from 1 species